CACGUAGGGGGCAAGCGUUGUCCGGAUUCAUUGGGCGUAAAGAGCUCGUAGGCGGCUCAGUAAGUCGGGUGUGAAAACUUCAGGCUCAACCUGGAGACGCCACCCGAUACUGCUGUGGCUAGAGUCCAGUAGGGGAGCGUGGAAUUCCUGGUGUAGCGGUGAAAUGCGCAGAUAUCAGGAGGAACACCAGUGGCGAAGGCGGCGCUCUGGGCUGGAACUGACGCUGAGGAGCGAAAGCGUGGGGAGCGAACAGG
rnacentral:rRNA from 2 species